rnacentral:rRNA from 1 species
CCCUUAGAUGUCCGGGGCUGCACGCGCGCCACACUGAAGGAAUCAGCGUGCUAAAACCAUUGUCGAAAGGCAUUGGUAAACCCAUUAAAAUCCUACGUGAUUGGGAUCGGGAAUUGCAAUUAUUUCCCUUGAACGAGGAAUUCCCAGUAAGUGUGGGUCAUAAGCUCGCGUUGAUUACGUCCCUGCCCUUUGUACACACCGCCCGUCGCUGCCCGGGACUGAGCCGUUUCGAGAAAAGCGGGGACUGCUGCUGUCGGGGCUUUCGGGCCUUGGCUUCAGUGGAAACCGCUUUAAUCGCAGUGGCUUGAACCGGGCAAAANUCGUANCA